rnacentral:misc_RNA from 1 species
AAGUCGUAACAAGGUUUCCGUAGGUGAACCUGAAGGAUCAUUAACACGUAUCCAACGUAAAAAACCCCCCUGUCGUAGCCCAGUGCGAUCCAGCAAUCCCGGUAAAUCAUUGUCGAACAGUAUUGAUUCGGGACUUCUGACAAAUGAGAAGUUACAGUUACGAUUGAGCGGAGAUAGCUGCAUGGCAUCCCGAAGCAGUCAGUGUCUGAAAGUGUCAUUGAUUGUCUAAGGAUCUCGCCUCAACGAUUGCCAGAGGUCGCUCACCGACCGGCAGACAUGCAACCGGGUCCCCACGCCCCUCUGUGAGUCGCGGGAAACUAGCGGCUAAAAAACCUCGAACAACUGUUAACAAUGGAUAUCUUGGUUCUC